rnacentral:rRNA from 1 species
UACGAAGGGGGCUAGCGUUGCUCGGAAUUACUGGGCGUAAAGGGCGCGUAGGCGGGUCGUCAAGUUGGGGGUGAAAGCCCGGGGCUCAACCUCGGAAUUGCCUUCAAAACUGACGACCUAGAGUAUGGCAGAGGUGUGUGGAACUCCGAGUGUAGAGGUGAAAUUCGUAGAUAUUCGGCGGAACACCAGUGGCGAAGGCGACUCACUGGCCCGAUACUGACGCUGAGGCGCGAAAGCGUGGGGAGCAAACAGG